UGUGCAGCAUGGAAUUUCUAGUGCCACC
rnacentral:piRNA from 1 species